GCCGCCGUUCCGCCGGUUUGAACUUGGCGGGCCCGAUGUGGGCGGACGGGCUGUGGGGGGCUGAUUCGCCACCUUCCGACGCUCGGUCCUCCGCCGGCUGCAGGUCCAGGUCUCGGCCCUCCUCUGACUCCUUCUCCGUCCUCAUGGCGGGCGCCCCGAGGCAGGGGCUGGAGCCGGUGACGGUGUGCUCGCCGCCGCCGCCGCUGAGCUGCAGCAAUUCCACCAUGUCGCUGUUGUCUCCCCUCGGCCACCAGAGCUUCCCGUUUGACUACGACGAUGGUGACGGGGAGGAUGAGGAAGACGUGGAUGAAGGUGCUCAUGAUUCACAGGCUAAGGUGGCGAGCCUGAGAGGAGUGGAGUUACAGGGGUGCACCAGUGUGGCUGAAUCAGAAGAUAACCAAGAAGAACAGAAACAGGUGCACCUACCAGAAAGCCGCCUGACACCAUGGGAAGUGUGGUUUGUUGGCAAAGAAAAAGUAGAACGUGACCGUUUGCAACAGAAAGCUCUGGAGGAAUUAAAUCAACAGCUAGAAAAAAGAAAAGAAAUGGAAGAACGUGAAAAAAGAAAGGUAAUUGCUGAAGAAAAGCACAAGGAAUGGGUUCAGAAAAAGAAUGAACAGAAAAGAAAGGAAAGGGAACAAAAAAUUAACAAGGAAAUGGAGGAAAAAGCAGCAAAGGAAUUGGAGAAAGAACAUUUGCAAGAAAAGGCAAAAGAAAAAUACCAAGAAUGGUUAAAGAAGAAAAAUGCUGAAGAAUGUGAAAAGAAGAAGAAAGAAAAGGAAAAAGAAAAACAACGGCAAGCUGAAUUACAGGAAAAAAAGGAAAUAGCAGAGAAAAGGUUUAAGGAAUGGUUGGAAAACGCAAAAAAUAAACCUCGUCCAGCUGCAAAGAGCUAUGGUUAUGCCAAUGGAAAACUUACAGGAACCAUCAAGAAAUGAAGAUUUGUUGUGGCAAUAUAAAGUUCAUGAUAAUCGAUUUAUAUAAUAACUGACUUCGGUUAAUGUACUGGUCUUGACUGAGGAUAUACCAACAGAAAGGGACCAAGAUUUCUUUGAUGUCAUCUUCUAACUCUUGGGUUGAUAUACAGACUUCCUGAUACAAUGCAACUGGAACUGCAACUUCACCUCUAUGGGUUCUUCCCUCAAACCCAUAACCUCAGUCUAAUCAUGAGAAAACAUCAGACAAACCUGAACGGAGAGACAUGGUACAAAAAACCUAACCACUACUCUUCAAGUCAAAGUUAUAAAAGAUGAGGAAAGGCUGAGAAGCCAUCACAGAUUGAACUUACAGAAAAAAACUAAAUGCAAUAAAGUACCCUGGAUUGGUCCCUGGAACAGAAACCUGAAUAAAUUCUACAGUGUAGUUAAUAGUAUUGUACCAAUGUUAAUUUCUAAGUUUUGAUAUAUGUACCAUGGUUAUACAAAUGUUUAUAAAUGGUUGUAUAAAUAUACCAUGGUUAUAGCUAAGGGAA